UGUAAUAGCAAAAAACAAAAAAAAGUUCGAGAGGCAUUAAGCAAAAGGUGAAAAAUUUACACAAAAUCAACUUUAAGUUGCAAAGUAUUAUAGAAAAGUUUUCAAAAUAAGUUGUCAUGUAAACUAAAAAAAAGCUGAAAAAAAAUCCACCAAAGAGUGCAGUUCAGAGCAAAAGUUCGUGAGCAAAAACGAAAAAAAAAAUUAUAUCGUGCGCUGUUUAUAGAUAAAAUGUAGCGCUUAAAAUGCAAGCAUCCUUCCAUUAUAGUACAUCGUCGAGAAUGCAAUCGUCACAAAAUGUCCGCUCGCCGGCCGAAAUGCGGCACAAGAAGAAGAGGCAGAAGGAGUUUGUUAUGCAAGACGGCAUCAAAAUGACGUAAAUAUUCUUUUUUAUUUUAUUUUAAAAAAUAUAUGCGG